UAAUACGUAGGUGGCAAGCGUUGUCCGGAAUUAUUGGGCGUAAAGCGCGCGCAGGUGGUUCCUUAAGUCUGAUGUGAAAGCCCACGGCUCAACCGUGGAGGGUCAUUGGAAACUGGGGAACUUGAGUGCAGAAGAGGAAAGUGGAAUUCCAAGUGUAGCGGUGAAAUGCGUAGAGAUUUGGAGGAACACCAGUGGCGAAGGCGACUUUCUGGUCUGUAACUGACACUGAGGCGCGAAAGCGUGGGGAGCAAACAGGAUUAGAUACCCUGGUAGUCCACGCCGUAAACGAUGAGUGCUAAGUGUUAGAGGGUUUCCGCCCUUUAGUGCUGCAGCUAACGCAUUAAGCACUCCGCCUGGGGAGUACGGCCGCAAGGCU
rnacentral:rRNA from 1 species